rnacentral:rRNA from 1 species
GUCGAAAGAUAGUGAUAGACCAUCGGAUGAAGUUUACUAUAUGUUUUUGUCUUUACCAUGUUUUUUCUUAUACCAUGUUGAUUUUCAAAUAAAGUGCAAGUUGUGAAUGAAAGAGUAGACAUUUUCUUAUUUAUGUCAAAUUUUGCAACAAAUUUUUUUGCCUUACCAAUCAUGCGGUGUGGGUGCUCACCGGCGCUGGAGCUGAGGUGAGGCGAAUUCAAAACUUCACCCAAAUGUCCGGAUUUCUCAUAUUUCCGGCUUGGAAUGCCCAGAUUUCUUGUUUCCUUGGCUUAUACUUUGGGUCUUGCACCUUUUCUUUAUAGGUUCUGCGAAUUCUUGUUUAGGGAUCCGAUGGAGAGCUCGGAUAUGGCAUCGCAGCCGUUGAGCGACAGGGUCACGCCGAAGCUCCUCCUCGGCUGCACGGAUUGCGUCACUGUCAUGCCGGGCGAGCCGCAGACUGGAUCCGGAAAGACAUAUACGACGGGUACCAAUUAUACUGGUGAAGUUGAUCGUGGAGGAAUAAUUGCACCUCUCAUGGAGACGAUAUUUAGGAAAUCUGAUGCGAUGAACCGUCAUACAGAGUUCUUAAUUAGGGUAUCCUUCAUCGAGAUAUUCAAGGAGGAAGUAUUUGAUUUACUUGAUGAUCAUGGGUCUGUUGCAAAAGUGGCAGCGCCUGCUAGAGUGCCUAUUCAGAUUCGACAAAACUGCAAAUGGAAGCAUUACACUUGCUGGCGUGAUGGAGGCUGAGGUCAAGUCAAAAGAAGAUAUGGGCCAUAUGGCCAUGCACUUGGCACGAGGAUCUUCGUCACGCGCAACUGAAAGUACAAACAUACAUAGCCAGGCAAGGGUGAUUGAGGAGUAAAUGCAAAGGUACAAAGAGUAACUAAUAAGUGUGUUUGAACAAUGA